rnacentral:tRNA from 1 species
AAGGGAGACCUAAUUCGGGUAUAAGACGAAAAAAGAGUAGUCGAAACCAAGAAUCAAUCCCAAAAGGUCGGAACGAGGUAUGUGGCUUUCAAACUAGGUUCUGGGUUCACACAAGACCUGAAUCAGGAACAAGGGCUAUUAGCUCAGGUGGUUAGAGCGCACCCCUGAUAAGGGUGAGGUCCCUGGUUCGAGUCCAGGAUGGCCCACCUGCACAGGUGGCAAAAACAAAGAAGCGAGGAAUCAGCACCUUAUCUUAUCUAUAUAUAAGGGAGAAUGCUGGCUCUGAGUAAAGAGUCCAGAGGAACCUUGAAAACUGCAUAGAGCUAGGUGAAAAAGCCAAAAAAGAAGACCGCAA